CGCUAGCGACAGGCCUAACACAUGCAAGUCGAGGGGCAGCACAAGGAGCAAUCUGGAGGUGGCGACCGGCGCACGGGUGAGUAACACGUAUGCCAACUGCCUAGUAAGGACGGGAAUAACCCGUUGAAAGACGGACUAAUACCGCAUAAUACUAAAUUACUGCAUGGUAAUUUAUUUAAACAUUUUAUGGCUUACAGAUGGGCAUGCGCAUGAUUAGCUAGUUGGAGAGGUAACGGCUCCCCAAGGCAACGAUCAUUAGGGGUUCUGAGAGGAAGGUCCCCCCACACUGGUACUGAGACACGGACCAGACUCCUACGGGAGGCAGCAGUGAGGAAUAUUGGUCAAUGGACGAGAGUCUGAACCAGCCAAGUCGCGUGCAGGAAGAAUGUCCUAUGGAUUGUAAACUGCUUUUGCAGGGGAAUAAAGUGCAUCACGUGUGAUGUUUUGUAUGUACUCUGCGAAUAAGGAUCGGCUAACUCCGUGCCAGCCGCCGC
rnacentral:rRNA from 1 species